rnacentral:lncRNA from 1 species
GCUGCCUGCUGCCCGCCGCCCCGCGACCGGGGCAGCCGCCGGCGCCGCGCCCCCUCCUCCCUGCCUCCCCGGCGGGGCGGGCGACGGGGGCAACGGGAGUGUGACGGACUGCGGCGCUCGGCGGGCCUGGGCGCAAGGACUGGGUCGCCGCCGUGCGGGGCGCCCGGGGCGGGUGGGUGUGGGCUGCGGGGCCGACGGCCGCGGGGGGGGCGCGGGGCUUUCCACGGCACGGGGCGGGUGGGGCUGCGGGCGCGGUCGGGGCUGGCGCGGCAGGCGAGAGGAAUUCCAGCGGGACGCGCCAGCGCUGCCUCCGCCUCGCCUCCCGUUACUAUAGUUUUUUCAGAACCUCUUAUCCACCCCGCAGAAGAGAAAUUUUUUUUUAACGUCCUGUUGCUUCACGGGGGACUUUCGGGGUGGGCAUCACGUGGCCCGACACGUAGCCGUGGGGCUCCAGAGCGCGUGCG